AGUGAACGCUGGCGGUAGGCCUAACACAUGCAAGUCGAACGGCAGCACAGGAGAGCUUGCUCUCUAGGUGGCGAGUGGCGGACGGGUGAGGAAUACAUCGGAAUCUGCCCAGUCGUGGGGGAUAACGUAGGGAAACUUACGCUAAUACCGCAUACGACCUUCGGGUGAAAGAGGGGGAUCGCAAGACCUCUCGCGAUUGGAUGAGCCGAUGUCGGAUUAGCUAGUUAGCGGGGUAAUGGCCCACCAAGGCGACGAUCCGUAGCUGGUCUGAGAGGAUGAUCCGCCACACUGGAACUGAGACACGGUCCAGACUCCUACGGGAGGCAGCAGUGGGGAAUAUUGGACAAUGGGCGAAAGCCUGAUCCAGCCAUACCGCGUGGGUGAAGAAGGCCUUCGGGUUGUAAAGCCCUUUUGUUGGGAAAGAAAUCUUUCAGGCUAAUACCCUGGGAGGAUGACGGUACCCAAAGAAUAAGCACCGGCUAACUUCGUG
rnacentral:rRNA from 1 species